rnacentral:rRNA from 1 species
AUUCCAGCUCCAAUAGCGUAUAUUAAAGUUGUUGCGGUUAAAAAGCUCGUAGUUGGAGUUCUGCCAGGUGGCGCUCGUCCGCCCAAGUGGUGUGUACAGGGCGUGCAUCUGGCCCUUUCAAGGGGAACGUGUCUGCACUUCAUUGUGUGGUGCGAGUUCCUUGACUUUUACUUUGAGUAAAUUAGAGUGUUCAAAGCAGGCCUACGCUCUGAAUACAUUAGCAUGGAAUAACACGAUAGGACUCUGGCCUAUCUUGUUGGUCUGUAGGACCGGAGUAAUGAUUAAGAGGGACAGUCGGGGGCAUUCGUAUUUCAUUGUCAGAGGUGAAAUUCUUGGAUUUAUGAAAGACGAACUACUGCGAAAGCAUUUGCCAAGGAUGUUUUCAUUG